rnacentral:ncRNA from 1 species
GUCCUAGCGUUAGCUCCCUGCAGCGCUAGUCCAUGAUGCUCUGUCUCAAAGAUUAAGCCAUGCCAUGUGUAAGAGUAUGAGAACUUAAUUCCAGACCUAUGUAGAAAUGCUGUCGACAUGGCUACAUUAAAUCUGAGUUAUUUAUGAUAUUGUUGGAAUGUGGUGAGCCUACUACUCCGGAUAACCGUAGUAAUUCUAGAGCUAAUACGCUGCAACAAACCUCUCCAGACAUUUCUUUGAAAGGGAUAAUGACCCAUUUUUAUUAGAAAAUAUACAGAGUCGACGCGCGGCUUAGUUGCCGUUGCUCGCUCGAUAGAUUCUUGAGUAACAUAUCGUUACGGAUUCGCACGGCCUUUAGACGUUCCCGGCACGGCAUCAUAUAUCAAAAUUAUACUUGCCCUACAACUGAAUCAACUUUCCGUCAUGGUGCGAAAUGAGGUGAGUCACCUACCAUGGUGGGCUGACGGCAGGGGUACGAGACAUAUAGCGGCUUCAGAUUCCAGCGAAGCUAAGGAGGUCCAUGCAGAAAGAAAACGGCUACCACCAUCCAAGGAACAGGCAGCCAGCCGCGCCGCAAAUUUACCCCAAUUCCUGACACGGGGCAGGUAGUGACAACUUAGAAAUAAACACAUACUAGUGUCGCAUCUGCAUACCGAGUCUGGUAAUUGGAAUGCAGCUACAAUCUACAAUCCUUAACGAGGCAGUCCUAUGGAGGGCAAGUCUGCGUGACCAGCAGUAGGUGCGGCGUUUGUACUCUGUAAUUCCAGCUCCAAUAGCGUUAUUUAAGUUGUUGCCCAUUGUUAUAAUAUAAGCUCGAUAGUGAAAUUGGACUUUUGGGAGAUGUUCCCGGCCUGCGUCCGCCACGCGUCGUGCACCGCGUUCGUUCUUCGCUACCUCCUCUUCUGCACCCGUCCUCCGCGAUGCCCGCUUCCAUGCGCUUAAUGGCCGGUUUGGUCAUCGUUGCUACAGCCGCCGGGCGCUGUUACUUCGAUGAAAAUUAGAAAGGUGCUCAAAAGACGAAAGCCUCUUACGUGCCUUCCUGCCUCAUACCAUUAGUCUAAUGUUUGGAAUGGGAUAACAUUUAUAGGAUUUCGCGUCCUAAUUAACGUUUGGCGCCUUCGGCGCAUCGGGAUAAUGAUUGAACAGGGCAGUCGGGGUCGGCAUUCGCUCAUUUUCAUAGUCAGAGGCUGACAAUUCUUGGUAAUUUUAUGAACGCAAACAACAACGUGUCCGAUAACAGCAUUUGCCAAGGAUGUUUUCAUUACAUCCAAGAACGAAAAGUUGGCGGCGCUCGAAGACGAUCAGAUCACCGCCCUUCCUAGCUCUCAACCAUAAACGAUGCGACCACGGGCAUCGGUCGAAUGAGUUGGCUGUUUUAGGACCCCUCGGCCAUCCUUAUGAAAAUCGUCAAAGUCUUUUGCUCGCUGGCUUCCAUGGGUUGGCCGAGCUAUU